rnacentral:rRNA from 1 species
UACGGAGGGGGCUAGCGUUGUUCGGAAUUACUGGGCGUAAAGCGCGCGUAGGCGGCUUUGUAAGUUAGAGGUGAAAGCCCGGAGCUCAACUCCGGAACUGCCUUUAAGACUGCAUCGCUUGAAUCCAGGAGAGGUGAGUGGAAUUCCGAGUGUAGAGGUGAAAUUCGUAGAUAUUCGGAAGAACACCAGUGGCGAAGGCGGCCAACUGGUCCGGCACUGACGCUGAGGUGCGAAAGCGUGGAGAGCAAACAGG